ACGGGAGGCAGCAGUGGGGAAUAUUGGGCAAUGGGCGAAAGCCUGACCCAGCGACGCCGCGUGAGGGAAGAAGAUCUUCGGAUUGUAAACCUUAGUCAACAGGGAAGAAGCAAGUGACGGUACCUGUGGAGGAAGCCACGGCUAACUACGUGCCAGCAGCCGCGGUAAUACGUAGGGGGCAAGCGUUAUCCGGAUUUACUGGGUGUAAAGGGAGCGUAGGUGGCCAUGCAAGUCAGAUGUGAAAUCCCGGGGCUCAACCCCGGAGCUGCAUUUGAAACUGCGUAGCUAGAGUGCAGGAGAGGUAAGCGGAAUUCCUAGUGUAGCGGUGAAAUGCGUAGAUAUUAGGAGGAACACCAGUGGCGAAAGCGGCUUGCUGGACUGCAACUGACACUGAGGCUCGAAAGCGUGGGGAGCAAACAGGAUUAGAUACCCUGGUA
rnacentral:rRNA from 1 species